rnacentral:tRNA from 3 species
GCCCGGGUGGCGGAAUUGGUAGACGCGCUACGUUCAGGUCGUAGUGAGGGAUUCCUCGUGGGAGUUCGAGUCUCCCCUCGGGCACCA